CUGUGUCCAUGAUUGACCGGUAUCUUCUCAGAUGUGCAAUAAUUAAAAAGGGAACGGCUUCCCAAGAUCCCUUCAGUAAUGCUUGACCGGUCUCUUCCUAGCUUCUCACAAUUGAAAAAGGGAACAGUUUAUCAAGAUCCCCUCUCAAGAUCCAUUCUCCACAUGCACACAUCCAGCAGAGCUUAUUGAAUUUCCCUCCCAAAAAAAGAGGGCUAAACAACAUGUUUCAAAUCACAAUAGAGAGAAAUCAUUUGAAAUCGAGUUGCGUUUCAUGGCCAAUAGAGGUUCCACAAGUGCCACAAUGAAAGUAAACGCAGCAGCAACGAAUGUUGUCUUGAAAGUGACCGAUCAAUGGAAGACUUAAAAGUGACAAGUAAGUAGCUUAACCAAUGUUUUGUAUUGCAAACAAUUGUUAACAACACAUAUAUACUUUAGUUCAGCUUGAUUUUCGGUCUCGCAUUGUUGAAAACUCGGCCAACCAAUACGGGCGCAGCCCUAUCUAGGUCCACAGAUUCCAGUUUUGACCAAGCUUUCUUGGUGGUCCCUACAGAAAAGCAAAAAUCUCACUAUUAGCAAGGCUCAUUAGUCAUUUUGUGUUUCACAAGAAACUGGUUGAACCACUUUGACUUCAUCAGCUUUGACAAGUAUUCAGCUAUAGUAUACUGGAGUGUAUACUCCAGUGACUUGUUUUGCUUUCGCAAGACUUUGAGGGCUUUCCUCUUGGCUGCCAGCUCGUCAUCAACUUCUUGCUGUAUAUCUAUUGGUUACCUUUUCUUUGUCGGAGGACGACGAAUUGUCAUCAUUUGAGUCCCGAGACGACUCAUCAUCGUCAGCGACAGGCUCCUCAGUCACAGUCACAUCAGCAACAACAUCAGCAACCGGUGCAGGUUAUACUAAGAGUUACCUGUGCAACGGUAAUGGUGCACGCGUGCUUUACCUAUCAGCGUGGUAGAAAAAUCAUUUUGGGCUUAAAACAAAAAAGGAUCAAAGAGAAAUUUUUUUUAAAGCGGCAAAAAGGGUGGAGGAUGGAUAAUAGCCAAAGAUGCGAACCUGACAUUGUGGCGGGCGCCAUUCAUUCAUCCGCCGCUAGUGCAGCGGUAGUGUUCCACUUACUCUCCAGGUGUUUUGCAUUUACUUUACUUUACUUACACCAUUACCCAGUAGAGGUGUGCCGUAUAGUACGUAAUUUGGUGUAGUAAAUAAAGUAAAUUCGUAUAGUGAGUAUAGUAAAUAGGUAUAGUGUAUUGCGUGUGGUAACUCUGGUGGCAACAACUGGAAUUUAGCCUUUAUAUUUCAAUAUUGAGACAUCCAAAAAUAAUAAACUAAAUCAAAAUUA